rnacentral:rRNA from 1 species
CUACGGGCGGCAGCAGUGAGGAAUAUUGCACAAUGGGGGGAACCCUGAUGCAGCAACGCCGCGUGGAGGAUGACGCAUCUCGGUGUGUAAACUCCUUUUAUAUGUCAAGAAAAUGACGGUAGCAUAUGAAUAAGCACCGGCUAACUCCGUGCCAGCAGCCGCGGUAAUACGGAGGGUGCAAGCGUUACUCGGAAUCACUGGGCGUAAAGGACGCGUAGGCGGGUUGGAAAGUCAGGUGUGAAAUCCUACAGCUUAACUGUAGAACUGCACUUGAAACUUCUAAUCUAGAGUAUGGGAGGGGGAGAUGGAAUUAGUGGUGUAGGGGUAAAAUCCGUAGAUAUCACUAGGAAUACCUAAAGCGAAGGCGAUCCCCUGGAACAUUACUGACGCUAAGGCGUGAAAGCGUGGGGAGCAAACAGGAUUAGAUACCCUCGUAGUC